UGGAAUUUGAUGGUCUUUAAGAUCCCUUCCAAUCCAAACCAUUCUAUGGUUCUGUGAAUGAACAGGCUCAGAAAAUUCCCUCAACUGAAAUAGUUCAAAUCUGGUAAAGUAUUAACACGUGCUUGACCUGUUCGUAUCUUUCUGGUCUAUCUGUGGUUCCUCUCAAGUAGAGGAUAGUUGGUGAAAUGGGUCCUUGGUUUCAAUCAGCAGGGUUAUUCUUAUGUUCUUACUGUCAUAGCUGUAACCUAAUAAAAUCAGUGUUUCUGGUUUAGAGGAAAAUAACUUCACUCCUAUAACUCCAAAAAAUCUAUUUAGGUAAGUAAUGGAAUUUUUGCUAAUUCCAUCCCAUAGCAGCUAGAAAUAGUUAAAUGUUUGGUUGUUGUUUGUUUUAUUUUUUCCAGGAAAAAUAUAUUUCUUCCUGACCUCUCUUCAUGUGUCAUUUUACAUCUAGCAACAUCAAUUCUACUCAUAGUACCUAAACAGUACAGAUACUGGUACAUGUUGGAACAUCAUAUGUCAGGAUAAUUGUCGAUUACUUGGAAAGAAUCAAAAGAAAAGCAUUAGGAAGACAGUCAAGUAAUGGAGAAGACUGCUGAGGGGAACCUGUAAGGACUUCAUCUCUGAAUGUUUUUCAGAACAUAAUAUCUUCUGGAAAUAACAUGAAGAUACAUGAUUCUGCACAGGGACAAGAAGAACAUCUGGCUCAUGAAUCCCCUUAUUGUUAGAGGUAAAGAGAGUAUUAGAGGAAAAGUGUAAUAUUCACUUCUCUUUUUCUUAUACUCUUCUUAGCACCUACUUAUGGACCCUACCAGGAGCAGGACAGUGGACCUUUGGCCUGACCAAGUACAACCAUUCCUCUGUUCUUAAAAGGAUUUCCUUCUGAGAGAUUCCCUUAUUUGGACAUGACUUCCGUUUUCCGAAGGAUGCCCUAAUAGCUUCCUCCAGUCGGCUCUUUCACCAUGUCGGUGUGUUUUCUGUUCUUUCAGAAUUUCAGUACUUCAUCAUUAAAAUUGAGGUAAUAAUUA